AAGAGGAUAGUCUAACACAAGACAUUUGAUUUCGGCUCAAAAGAUUUUGGUAUCGAUCCCAACCCUCUUU
rnacentral:tRNA from 1 species